rnacentral:hammerhead_ribozyme from 1 species
AUUUAAUUGAUGAGUCCCAAAUAGGACGAAAUUCAUGUCUUGGAU